CGGUGAUGUGUCAAAGCAAUGCUGCAUUAUCAAAGGCAGGUGCUGAUUCCACUGUUAGCACUUCAGCUUGUACUGCAGAUUUCAAUCAUGUGGCUAACCCAACCUGUGGAAGCUGUCUGCUGCUGCCCAUCAGUCCUCUUCAGAUUGUGCCUGGAAGUCCACUGCAUGUACUGAACAGUCCAAUUUUUUCUGUCUCUCCCUCAGGUCAACUUAGCCAGGAGGUACAAUACCUCACUUUAUUUUCGUCUUUGUUUUUAACUUCAACCCAUCCUUCCUGAACUAUUACUACAAUGCCAAUACCAGCACCCCAGCUGUCAGUCCUACUUAUCAAGCUAAUAUUCCAGUGUCACCAAAUUAUUUAACUCCUGGCUUACCGCAGUUGCCAUCAUCUCCUG